AGACCCGAAACCCGGUGAUCUAGCCAUGGGCAGGUUGAAGGUUGGGUAACACUAACUGGAGGACCGAACCGACUAAUGUUGAAAAAUUAGCGGAUGACCUGUGGCUGGGGGUGAAAGGCCAAUCAAACCGGGAGAUAGCUGGUUCUCCCCGAAAGCUAUUUAGGUAGCGCCUCGUGAAUUCAUCUCCGGGGGUAGAGCACUGUUUCGGCUAGGGGGCCAUCCCGGCUUACCAACCCGAUGCAAACUGCGAAUACCGGAGAAUGUUAUCACGGGAGACACACGGCGGGUGCUAACGUCCGUCGUGAAGAGGGAAACAACCCAGACCGCCAGCUAAGGUCCCAAAGUCAUGGUUAAGUGGGAAACGAUGUGGGAAGGCCCAGACAGCCAGGAUGUUGGCUUAGAAGCAGCCAUCAUUUAAAGAAAGCGUAAUAGCUCACUGGUCGAGUCGGCCUGCGCGGAAGAUGUAACGGGGCUAAACCAUGCACCGAAGCUGCGGCAGCGACACUGUGUGUUGUUGGGUAGGGGAGCGUUCUGUAAGCCUGUGAAGGUGUGUCGUGAGGCAUGCUGGAGGUAUCAGAAGUGCGAAUGCUGACAUAAGUAACGAUAAAGCGGGUGAAAAGCCCGCUCGCCGGAAGACCAAGGGUUCCUGUCCAACGUUAAUCGGGGCAGGGUGAGUCGACCCCUAAGGCGAGGCCGAAAGGCGUAGUCGAUGGGAAACGGGUUAAUAUUCCCGUACUUGGUGUUACUGCGAAGGGGGGACGGAGAAGGCUAUGUUGGCCGGGCGACGGUUGUCCCGGUUUAAGCGUGUAGGUGUGUGUUCCAGGUAAAUCCGGUUCACUUUAACACUGAGGCGUGACGACGAGGCACUACGGUGCUGAAGCAACAAAUGCCCUGCUUCCAGGAAAAGCCUCUAAGCAUCAGGUAACAUCAAAUCGUACCCCAAACCGACACAGGUGGUCAGGUAGAGAAUACCAAGGCGCUUGAGAGAACUCGGGUGAAGGAACUAGGCAAAAUGGUGCCGUAACUUCGGGAGAAGGCACGCUGACACGUAGGUGAAGUGAUUUACUCAUGGAGCUGAAGUCAGUCGAAGAUACCAGCUGGCUGCAACUGUUUAUUAAAAACACAGCACUGUGCAAACACGAAAGUGGACGUAUACGGUGUGACGCCUGCCCGGUGCCGGAAGGUUAAUUGAUGGGGUCAGCGCAAGCGAAGCUCCUGAUCGAAGCCCCGGUAAACGGCGGCCGUAACUAUAACGGUCCUAAGGUAGCGAAAUUCCUUGUCGGGUAAGUUCCGACCUGCACGAAUGGCGUAAUGAUGGCCAGGCUGUCUCCACCCGAGACUCAGUGAAAUUGAACUCGCUGUGAAGAUGCAGUGUACCCGCGGCAAGACGGAAAGACCCCGUGAACCUUUACUAUAGCUUGACACUGAACAUUGAGCCUUGAUGUGUAGGAUAGGUGGGAGGCUUUGAAGUGUGGACGCCAGUCUGCAUGGAGCCGACCUUGAAAUACCACCCUUUAAUGUUUGAUGUUCUAACGUGGACCCGUUACCCGGGUUGCGGACAGUGUCUGGUGGGUAGUUUGACUGGGGCGGUCUCCUCCUAAAGAGUAACGGAGGAGCACGAAGGUUGGCUAAUCCUGGUCGGACAUCAGGAGGUUAGUGCAAUGGCAUAAGCCAGCUUGACUGCGAGCGUGACGGCGCGAGCAGGUGCGAAAGCAGGUCAUAGUGAUCCGGUGGUUCUGAAUGGAAGGGCCAUCGCUCAACGGAUAAAAGGUACUCCGGGGAUAACAGGCUGAUACCGCCCAAGAGUUCAUAUCGACGGCGGUGUUUGGCACCUCGAUGUCGGCUCAUCACAUCCUGGGGCUGAAGUAGGUCCCAAGGGUAUGGCUGUUCGCCAUUUAAAGUGGUACGCGAGCUGGGUUUAGAACGUCGUGAGACAGUUCGGUCCCUAUCUGCCGUGGGCGCUGGAGAACUGAGGGGGGCUGCUCCUAGUACGAGAGGACCGGAGUGGACGCAUCACUGGUGUUCGGGUUGUCAUGCCAAUGGCACUGCCCGGUAGCUAAAUGCGGAAGAGA
rnacentral:rRNA from 1 species